GGACCGUUAGUUCAGUUGGUUGGAACGCCCGGCUCAUAACCGGGAAGGCUGGGGUUCAAGUCUCUAACGGUCCA
rnacentral:tRNA from 2 species